rnacentral:tRNA from 1 species
GAGGGUGUAGCUCAGGGGUAGAGCGCAUGCCUGGCAUGCAUGAAGCCCAGGGUUCAAUCCCCAGCACCUCUG